UUUACGUUUUUACAGAUUUGGUCCGCUUUUUCAGCUGUCUGACCAAAAUACCCUUAUUAUUUUUUCUCUCUCCUCUUUUUCUCUCCUCUUUUUUCUCUCGUUCAUUUUUUUUUCUCUCGCCAAAGAGGCAGCGGAGGCAGAGGCGGAAGCGGAAACGGCCCGUCUCGCCUCUCACCCUCAUGCUCUUGCCCUCGCCUUCGCCCUUGCCCUCGCUUCCUCACCUCCUACCCCACCGAGGCCACGCCGCAACUCUUUUUUUUUCAUCUCCGACUCUCCACCAUCUCUGAUGACGACGCCUCUCUCGCCCUUCCUUGUCCUUCUCGUCCUCUCCCUCUCCCUCAUCCUCUGUCGCCUUCGACGAUGCCGACGCCGUGGAGGUCGCCCCUUUCUGCCAACGACCACGGCGUCGGUGACGACGCCGC
rnacentral:lncRNA from 1 species